rnacentral:rRNA from 1 species
UCGAGAGGCUUCGGCAAUGGGGGAAACCCUGACCGAGCGACGCCGCGUGGGUGAUGAAGAUUCUCGGAUCGUAAAACCCUGUCAGGUGGGAUGAAAAACCAUUCGGUUAAUACCCGAGUGGCUUGACAGUACCACCAGAGGAAGCUCCGGCCAACUCCGUGCCAGCAGCCGCGGUAACACGGGGGGAGCAAGCGUUAAUCGGAAUUACUGGGCGUAAAGCGUGCGCAGGCGGCUUUGCAAGACAGAUGUGAAAUCCCCGGGCUCAACCUGGGAACUGCAUUUGUGACUGCAAGGCUGGAGUGCGGCAGAGGGGGAUGGAAUUCCGCGUGUAGCAGUGAAAUGCGUAGAUAUGCGGAGGAACACCGAUGGCGAAGGCAAUCCCCUGGGCCUGCACUGACGCUCAUGCACGAAAGCGUGGGGAGCAAACAGGAUUAGAUACCCCAGUAGUCCCUGAGCGGGCUGGCAAGGCGCAU